rnacentral:lncRNA from 1 species
AGCCACCGGAUUGGGCUCAUGGACAGAAGUAAUAAGAUCUCUAACCCUACUGAUUAUAACAAAAGUCUCAUAUGAACCAAGAAAAGCAAAUCUCUUCAUUCACAUCAGGUGCAAAAAAGAUAGCACCUAGGAAUACUUAUAGACCUUUAAAAUUUUUUUGCAAGAUUUAUAUGGAAAAUGGCUUUUAAAAUUCCGAGGAACACAAAUGAUUUGAAUAUAUGGAAAAAGUAACGUGCUUUUGGACAGGAAGAUUCAAUAUCAGAAAGAUGUCAAUUUGUUGAUCAAUUCUGUCAUCAUUAAGUUAAAUAAAAUUGUACAAAGAAUGAGGCCAAAACUGUGUAUAAAAACUGGAUGGAUAUAAUAAACUACCAAUAAUGGUAGAUUUUGACCUGAGGAAAGA